UAGAACAGAAUCCCUUCUCUGGAUAAGAAAAAGAAGGCCCCAAGAGAAGCCACUUAUUCAAAGUUAGCAUUGGGAUUACCUGUAAUGCCCAUGUCAAUUAAUAUAUAGGAGUAAUUAAUCAAAUUGAACCUUCAAAACUAAUGCAUCACUUCAGUUACACCCAGUUGUUAUGAUGAGUUCUUUGCUCCCUACACACGGCCCUCGCAGUGUUUAUAUAAAUAUAGAUAGAUAUAAAAAUU